rnacentral:rRNA from 1 species
AAUUCGACGCAACGCGCAGAACCUUACCUGGUCUUGACAUCUCGGGAAUCAUUUGGAAACAUAUGAGUGCCUCGCAAGAGGAGCCCGAUGACAGGUGCUGCAUGGCUGUCGUCAGCUCGUGUCGUGAGAUGUUGGGUUAAGUCCCGCAACGAGCGCAACCCUUGUCUUUAGUUGCCAUCAUUAAGUUGGGCACUCUAAAGAGACUGCCGGUGUCAAACCGGAGGAAGGUGGGAUGACGUCAAGUCCUCAUGGCCUUUAUGACCAGGGCUACACACGUACUACAAUGGCAGGUACAAAGGGCAGCCACUUAGCGAUAAGGCGCGAAUCCCAUAAAACCUGUCUCAGUCCGGAUUGGAGUCUGCAACUCGACUCCAUGAAGUUGGAAUCGCUAGUAAUCGCAGAUCAGCACGCUGCGGUGAAUACGUUCCCGGGCCUU